UACGUAGGGGGCGAGCGUUGUCCGGAAUUACUGGGCGUAAAGGGUACGUAGGCGGCUAUAUAAGUCAGGUGUGAAAUACCAGUGCUUAACACUGGAAUUGCAUUUGAAACUGUGUAGCUUGAGUGCAGGAGAGGAAAGUGGAAUUCCUAGUGUAGCGGUGAAAUGCGUAGAGAUUAGGAGGAACACCAGUGGCGAAGGCGACUUUCUGGACUGUAACUGACGCUGAGGUACGAAAGCGUGGGUAGCGAACAGG
rnacentral:rRNA from 1 species